rnacentral:rRNA from 1 species
AGUGAACGCUGGCGGUAGGCCUAACACAUGCAAGUCGAACGGCAGCACAGUAAGAGCUUGCCCUUACGGGUGGCGAGUGGCGGACGGGUGAGGAAUACAUCGGAAUCUACUUUUUCGUGGGGGAUAACGUAGGGAAACUUACGCUAAUACCGCAUACGACCUACGGGUGAAAGCAGGGGAUCUUCGGACCUUGCGCGAUUGAAUGAGCCGAUGUCGGAUUAGCUAGUUGGCGGGGUAAAGGCCCACCAAGGCGACGAUCCGUAGCUGGUCUGAGAGGAUGAUCAGCCACACUGGAACUGAGACACGGUCCAGACUCCUACGGGAGGCAGCAGUGGGGAAUAUUGGACAAUGGGCGCAAGCCUGAUCCAGCCAUACCGCGUGGGUGAAGAAGGCCUUCGGGUUGUAAAGCCCUUUUGUUGGGAAAGAAAAGCAGCAGGUUAAUACCCCGCUGUUCUGACGGUACCCAAAGAAUAAGCACCGGCGAACUUCGU